GAUCAUUGGCUCAGGAUGAACGCUAGCUACAGGCUUAACACAUGCAAGUCGAGGGGAAACGACAUCGAAAGCUUGCUUUUGAUGGGCGUCGACCGGCGCACGGGUGAGUAACGCGUAUCCAACCUGCCCAUCACUUGGGAAUAACCUUGCGAAAGUAAGACUAAUACCCAAUGAUAUCCCACGAAGGCAUCCGAAUGGGAUUAAAGAUUUAUCGGUGAUGGAUGGGGAUGCGU
rnacentral:rRNA from 1 species